GACGAACGCUGGCGGCGUGCCUAAUACAUGCCAGUAGAACGCACAGUUUAUACCGUAGCUUGCUACACCAUAGACUGUGAGUUGCGAACGGGUGAGUAACGCGUAGGUAACCUGCCUGGUAGCGGGGGAUAACUAUUGGAAACGAUAGCUAAUACCGCAUAAUAUUAAUUAUUGCAUGAUAAUUAAUUGAAAGGUGCAAUUGCACCACUACCAGAUGGACCUGCGUUGUAUUAGCUAGUAGGUGAGGUAACGGCUCACCUAGGCGACGAUACAUAGCCGACCUGAGAGGGUGAUCGGCCACACUGGGACUGAGACACGGCCCAGACUCCUACGGGAGGCAGCAGUAGGGAAUCUUCGGCAAUGGACGAAAGUCUGACCGAGCAACGCCGCGUGAGUGAAGAAGGUUUUCGGAUCGUAAAGCUCUGUUGUAAGAGAAGAACGGGUGUGAGAGUGGAAAGUUCACACUGUGACGGUAUCUUAACAGAAAGGGACGGCUAACUACGUG
rnacentral:rRNA from 1 species